UGACUUGUUCUUUAGCUUAUUGAUAUUGCUAGAACCACAUCCUUCUCUUGACUAAUUUGUGUAGAUGUGACUUGUUCUUUAGCUUAUUGAUGUUGCUUGCACCAUGUCCUUCUCUUGACUAACUUGUGUAGAUGUGACUUGUUCCUUAGGUUAUUGAUGUUGCUUGCACCAUGUCCUUCUCUUGACUAACUUGUGUAGAUGUGACUUGUUCUUUAGGUUAUUGAUGUUGCUUGCACCAUG